rnacentral:rRNA from 1 species
GAUGAUCGCUGUCGGCGUGCCUAAUACAUGCAAGUCGAGCGAACGGACGAGAAGCUUGCUUCUCUGAUGUUAGCGUCGUACGGGUGAGUAACACUUGGAUAACCUACCUAUAAAACUGGGAUAACUUCGGGAAACCGGAGCUAAUACCGGAUAAAAUUUGGAACCGCAUGGUUCACAAGUGAAAGACGGUCUUGCUGUUACUUAUAGAUGUAUCCGCGCUGCCUUAGCUAGUUGGUAAGGUAACGGCCUACCAAGGCAACGAUGCAUAGCCGACCUGAGCGGGUGAUCGGACACACUGGACCUGAGACCCGGCCCCGACUCCUCCGGGAGGCAGCAGUAGGGAAUCUUCCGCCAUGGGCGGAAGCCCGACGGAGCAACGCCGCGUGAGCGAUGAUGGUCUUCGGAUCGUAAAACUCUGCUAUUAGGGAAGAACAUAUGUCUAAGUAACUGUGCACCACUAGACGGUAGCUACUCAGAGAGGCACGGCUAACUCCGUG